rnacentral:rRNA from 1 species
GACGAACGCUGGCGGCGUGCUUAACACAUGCAAGUCGAACGGAAAGGCCCUGUUUUUGUGCGGUGCUCAAGUGGCGAAAGGGUGAGUAUCACGUGAGUAACCUGCCCUUUACUUUGGGGUACCUUCAGGAAACUCGGGCUCUUACCGCAUAUGAGCUCUUGCUGCAUGGUGGGUGAUGGAGAGAUUCGUCGGUUGGGGAUGGAAGCGCGGCUUAUCGUCUUGUUGGUGGGGUAGUGGCUUACCAAGGCUUUGACGGGUAGCCGGCCUGGGAGGGUGACCGGCCACAUUGGGCCUGGGGUGGGGCCCAGACUGCUACGGGAGGCAGCGGUGGGGAAUAUUGCAAAAUGGGCGGAAGGCUGAUGCAGCAACGCCGCGUGCGGGAUGACGGCCUGCGGGUUGGAAACCGCUUUCGCCUGUGACGAAGCGUGAGUGACGGUAACGGGUAAAGAAGCACCGGCUAACUACGUG